GAGUUUCUUCUCGUUCUACCAAACUGAUUAUGUUGAUAUCUGUAGUGUCUUUUUCUUUGAACGCAUAAACUGAUUAUGUUGAUAUCUGUAGUGUCUUUUUCUUUGUACACCUCUCUUCUCUUCUUCUAAUCCCCAUUUCUUUUUUUUCCAGAGCACAACUAAUCUCUCUUGGUUUCUCACUUACUUACUCUGAAUUUUUGAAUUAGCUUAGAUCCCUAAAGUCGAUAUCUUUGGAUCAGUUUCCAAAUGGAUAAUCAUUCUUUGCCGCUGUUAAAUCUAGCAACACCGGACUUGCGUUUUCAUCUUUGGCAGCUGGAGGAGGAGGCAAACCUGAUGCUGCGUUGGUCAUGGAUUGGUCUGUUGAAGAGCAUUAUGUAUUAGAGAACGGCCUUGCAAAGUAGGUAUCUUCUUUCUUAUGUUCUUCUUCAACGUUGAGCAAGGCAGCAUCACUAUCAGGAACAACUCCGAUUGCAAUCCAGUCAAGUAACAUAAAGUUAAACGGAGUGAUAUCAGUGCCAUAGAUGAAAUUGAUCUUGUAUUGAUGAUUGGUUGGUCUGUAGGUCACACCGGGGUUAUUGAUGGAGAAAUUUUCAAUGCUUCUCCAUGAUCCAACAUGUACUUUCUUGGCAAACUUUUCAAAGUAUGGAGCACCUUAACUUCAACACGCCAUUCGGACUUGUAUGGUAGGAUGGCAGCCAAAGGCGUGAGUUCCAUGCUUAAAGGUAACUGCUGAAUUAGAUUAAGUUUGUAAACUCAGAUUUUAGAAAGCGUGUUAAGAGUAGAUGGUAGGAACAAUAUUUAUAAAAGAGGGAUGGCGAUGGAAAUGAUUAGGGAGAAGGAUAAAAUAUUGUUUUUUAGUUAAAAAAAUUGUUGCAAAAUAUGAAGGCAUAUUUUACGGGAUUAAAGAGUUAGAUAUCAAAAUUUUCGAAAUUCAGUUUAGAUAUAUUGUUGUUCGCAUCAAGUUUUAAUUUUAGUAUUUUUUAAUUAAACAAUAACUUUAUUCUAAAUGGUGGCUCCUGGUGGUUACAAUCCU